rnacentral:rRNA from 1 species
CUAUGCGCCUUGCCAGCCCGCUCAGGUGUGCCAGCCGCCGCGGUAAUACGGAGGAUGCGAGCGUUAUCCGGAUUUAUGGGUUUAAAGGGUGCGUAGGUGGUUAAUUAAGUCAGCGGUGAAAGUUUGUGGCUCAACCAUAAAAUUGCCGUUGAAACUGGUUGACUUGAGUAUAUUUGAGGUAGGCGGAAUGCGUGGUGUAGCGGUGAAAUGCAUAGAUAUCACGCAGAACUCCGAUUGCGAAGGCAGCUUACUAAACUAUAACUGACACUGAAGCACGAAAGCGUGGGAUCAAACAGG